rnacentral:tRNA from 2 species
GGGAGCGUGGGCUAGUUUGGCAUGCUUCGAGCCUCGGGCGCUCGAGGUCGGGGGUUCAAAUCCCCUCGCUCCCA